rnacentral:rRNA from 1 species
CCUACGGGAGGCAGCAGUGGGGAAUAUUGCACAAUGGAGCGCAAGCCUGAUCCAGCCACGCCGCGUGAGUGAUGAAGGCCUUCGGGUUGUAAAGCUCUUUCGGCAGGGACGAUAAUGACGGUACCUGCAGAAUAAGCCCCGGCUAACUUCGUGCCAGCAGCCGCGGUAAU